ACCUGCCAUAAAAAAAAACUCACAUCUAUGACGAGGGCUGACAUGUGGCAUCUGUCCCUCCUCUGCAGCACCCCUGCCCUUAUCUCCGGCUAGGCUUACUGCCAACACCUCUGAAUAGACCUCCUGCUUCUAACACCCCUCGCAGGGCCAUCCUGUGCACUGCUGCCAGAAUAAUCUUUCUAAAACACACAGUGAUUAUAUUACCUUCCUGCUUUUUGGUCAUUUCCACCUGCAUGGCAAGCUGCCUAAGGCAUAAACUACACUUCUUUAUAUUUCCUAUGUCGUGGUGCCUCUCAGACUUUGAUGGGGAACUCAUUCCAAAUGUAACUGCCUGCUUCUCAUCUCCAAAGACUCUCAUCUAGUAGGACCAGGAUGAAGUUGGGAAUCCACCUUAUAUUUCCAGGCACGUCCCCCCAGAAGGCUGUGGUGCCAGAGGUCUAUAGACUACACUACAAACUGAGAAGCGUUAUCUUCUAAAUCUGCAGCUGAACCACCUGCUCCCCCGCAUCUGAAGAAGAUGGCCUGGACGCCCACCGCACACCCCGUGUGAUGUCCGUAAGCUCGGACUCCGUCCCGGUCACGUCCCGGUCACCCUGGCCCGGUGUCGAGCUCUGCUAAAUGCUCGUUCUGCUUCUUGCAGUUUUUCCUUCAGCUCUGCCUCAAUGGUGACCAAAAUGAAAUAUGUUCGAUCUAGGAAACUGACGCCAGAGUGAGGAGGUGACCUCAUCAUGGGCACAGCGCCAAACUCCUGACAGUAACAAGAGGUUGGACUUUCUUCCGGAAAAUGGGAGGAUGGAACUUGAUAGUCUUUGAGGUCCUUUCCAUCACUUUUCAGCCUCUUGGUUCUGAAACAAAAAAUAAAUUCCCUUUCAACUCCAACA